rnacentral:miRNA from 14 species
AGGUUAGGACUUUUGCAAUAUU